UGCAUCGUAGUGUGAAUUGCAGAAUUCCGCGAAUCAUCGAGUCUUUGAACGCAAGUUGCGCCCGAGGCUUGUCCAAGGGCAUUUCCGCUAGAGCGUCACC
rnacentral:rRNA from 1 species